rnacentral:rRNA from 1 species
UACGUAGGGUGCGAGCGUUGUCCGGAAUUACUGGGCGUAAAGGGCGCGUAGGCGGCCUUCUAAGUCGAACGUGAAAUCCCCGGGCUCAACCCGGGAACUGCGUCCGAUACUGGGAGGCUUGAAUCCGGGAGAGGGAUGCGGAAUUCCAGGUGUAGCGGUGAAAUGCGUAGAUAUCUGGAGGAACACCGGUGGCGAAGGCGGCAUCCUGGACCGGCAUUGACGCUGAGGAGCGAAAGCCAGGGGAGCAAACGGG